AGUGAACGCUGGCGGUAGGCCUAACACAUGCAAGUCGAACGGCAGCACAGUAAGAGCUUGCUCUUACGGGUGGCGAGUGGCGGACGGGUGAGGAAUACAUCGGAAUCUACUUUUUCGUGGGGGAUAACGUAGGGAAACUUACGCUAAUACCGCAUACGACCUACGGGUGAAAGCAGGGGAUCUUCGGACCUUGCGCGAUUGAAUGAGCCGAUGUCGGAUUAGCUAGUUGGCGGGGUAAAGGCCCACCAAGGCGACGAUCCGUAGCUGGUCUGAGAGGAUGAUCAGCCACACUGGAACUGAGACACGGUCCAGACUCCUACGGGAGGCGGCAGUGGGGAAUAUUGGACAAUGGGCGCAAGCCUGAUCCAGCCAUACCGCGUGGGUGAAGAAGGCCUUCGGGUUGUAAAGCCCCUUUGUUGGGAAAGAAAAGCAGCAGGUUAAUACCCCGCUGUUCUGACGGUACCCAAAGAAUAAGCACCGGCUAACUUCGUG
rnacentral:rRNA from 1 species